rnacentral:rRNA from 1 species
GCAAGUCGAGGGGUAACAGAUAUAAAGCUUGCUUUUUCGCUGACGACCGGCGCACGGGUGCGUAACGCGUAUAGAAUCUACCUUUUACUGAGGGAUAGCCUUUAGAAAUGAAGAUUAAUACCUCAUAGUAUCAAAUUUUCGCAUGAUUAUUUGAUUAAAGAUUUAUUGGUAAAAGAUGACUAUGCGUCCUAUUAGCUAGAUGGUAAGGUAACGGCUUACCAUGGCAACGAUAGGUAGGGGUCCUGAGAGGGAGAUC